GCCCAGGUAGUAUAGUCCGGUCUAGUAUAAGCGGCUGUCGCCCGCUAGACCCGGGUUCGAAUCCCGGCCUGGGCGCCA
rnacentral:tRNA from 1 species